CUGCCCUAUCAGCUCUCGAUGGUAGUGUAUUGGACUACCAUGGCGGUAACGGGUUACGGAGAAUUGGGGUUCGAUUCCGGAGAGGGAGCCUGAGAAACGGCUACCAUUUCUAUGGAAGGCAGCAGGCGCGUAAAUUACCCAAUCCUGACUAAGGGAGGUAGUUAAUAGAAAUAACAGGUUCGUGGUUUUUACCAUCGGACAUGUAAUGAACGCUAUGUAGAUAAAAGCGUGAAUCUAUUGGAGGGCAAGUCUGGUGCCAGCAGCCGCGGUAAUUCCAGCUCCAAUAGCGUAUACUAAUGUUGUUGCAGUUAAAAAGCUCGUAGUUGAAAUUCGGCGCUUCUGCGUCUGUCCGCAAGGUAUCCCGAUCUCUCAAAGGAUCUGCCUAUCGAACGGACCUUUACUGUGAAGAAAUUAGAGUGCUCAAAGCAGGCCUUCGCUUGUAUAACAAAGCAUGGAAUAAUGAAACAAGACUCCGUUCUUUUUAUUUGGUUCUGAACAGAGUAAUGAUUAACAGGAUUAGUUGGGGGGC
rnacentral:rRNA from 1 species